rnacentral:rRNA from 1 species
CCUACGGGAGGCAGCAGUGGGGAAUAUUGCACAAUGGGCGAAAGCCUGAUGCAGCAACGCCGCGUGAAGGAAGACGGUUUUCGGAUUGUAAACUUCUGUUCUUAGUGAAGAAUAAUGACGGUAACUAAGGAGCAAGCCACGGCUAACUACGUGCCAGCAGCCGCGGUAAUACGUAGGGGGCAAGCGUUAUCCGGAAUUACUGGGUGUAAAGGGAGCGUAGACGGUAAUGCAAGUCUGGAGUGAAAGGCGGGGGCCCACCCCCCGGACUGCUCUGGAAACUGUGUAACUGGAGUGCAGGAGAGGCG